rnacentral:rRNA from 1 species
UACGGGGGGGGCAAGCGUUGUUCGGAAUUACUGGGCGUAAAGGGUUCGUAGGCGGCCCUCUCAGUCGGAUGUGAAAUCCCCAGGCUCAACUUGGGAACGGCAUCCGAUACUGGAGGGCUUGAAUUCGGGAGAGGGAUGCAGAAUUCCAGGUGUAGCGGUGAAAUGCGUAGAUAUCUGGAGGAAUACCGGUGGCGAAGGCGGCAUCCUGGACCGAGAUUGACGCUGAGGAGCGAAAGCUAGGGGAGCAAACGGG